rnacentral:rRNA from 1 species
AGUUUGAUCCUGGCUCCAGAAGAACGCUGGGGGGGUGCCUAAUACAUGCAAGUCGAGCGGACCUUUCGGGGUCUUGGGUGGACGGGUGAGUAACACGUGGGCAAUCUGCCCGAUACUCUGGGAUAACUCUUGGAAACGAGUGCUAAUACCGGAUGGUCUUCUUGGCCGCAUGGCCGANAAGGAAAAGACGCGUUCGCGUCAGAGUCGGAUGAGCCCGCGGCGCCUUAGCUAGUUGGUGAGGUAACGGGCCCCCAAGGGGACGAUGCGUAUCCCACCUGAAAGGGGGACCGGCCACACUGGGACUGAAACACGGCCCAGACUCCUACAGGAGGCAGCCGUAGGGAAUCUUCCACAAUGGGCGAAAGCCUGAUGGAGCAACCCCGCGUGAGUGAUGAAGGCCUUCGGGUUGUAAAACUCUGUCAUUCGGAACGAACCGGAGUCUGAAGAAAUGCAGACUCUCUGACGGUACCGGAGGAGGAAGCCCCGGCUAACUACUUGCCAGCAGCCGCGGUAAUACGUAGGGGGCAAGCGUUGUCCGGAUUCGCUGGGCGGAAAGCGCGCGCAAGCGGUGAUGUUAGUCUGAGGUGAAAACCCCAAGCUCAACUUCUGGACUGCCUUGGAUACUGCAUCACUUAAGGAUAGGAGAGGCAAGGGGAAUUCAUCGUGGAGCAGCAAAAUGCGUAGAGAUGUGCAGGAAGCCUGUGGGUAAAGAGCCUUGCUAGCCUAUUUCUGACGCUGAGGCGCGCAAGCGUGGGCCACACACAGGAUUACAUACCCUGGGAGUCAACGC